rnacentral:rRNA from 1 species
UAGGGAAUCUUCCGCAAUGGACGAAAGUCUGACGGAGCAACGCCGCGUGAGUGAAGAAGGAUUUCGGUUCGUAAAACUCUGUUGUUAGGGAAGAAAAAAUGUAUAGUAACUAUAUACAAAAGAGACGGUACCUAACCAGAAAGCCACGGCUAACUACGUGCCAGCAGCCGCGGUAAUACGUAGGUGGCAAGCGUUGUCCGGAAUUAUUGGGCGUAAAGCGCGCGCAGGUUGUUUAGAAAGGCUGAUGUGAAAGCCCACGGCUCAACCGUGGAGGGUCAUUGGAAACUAAUAAACUUGAGUGCAGGAGAGAAAAGUGGAAUUCCUAGUGUAGCGGUGAAAUGGGUAGAGAUUAGGAGGAACACCGGUGGCGAAAGCGGCUUUUUGGCCUGCAACUGACACUGAGGCGCGAAAGCGUGGGGAGCAAACAGG